ACUUUUUCCCUUUGGGGACAUACAUGCAUCUGAUAAAAUUGGAACGAUACAAAGAAGAUUGGCAUGGCGUCACCACAAAGAUGACAUGCAUAAAUAAAAAAAUAAAAAAAAGAUC
rnacentral:snRNA from 1 species